rnacentral:rRNA from 1 species
UCGGGAAUUUUGGGCAAUGGGCGAAAGCCUGACCCAGCAACGCCGCGUGAAGGAUGAAAUCCCUCGGGAUGUAAACUUCGCAAGAACGGGAAGAAUAAGUCGGUGCUAACACCAUCGGCGAUGACGGUACUGUUUGUAAGCUCCGGCUAACUCCGUGCCAGCAGCCGCGGUAAUACGGGGGGAGCAAGCGUUGUUCGGAUUUACUGGGCGUAAAGGGCGCGUAGGCGGCCACCGCAAGUCGACUGUGAAAUCUCCGGGCUUAACUCGGAAAGGUCAGCCGAUACUGCGGGGCUAGAGUGCAGAAGGGGCAACUGGAAUUCUCGGUGUAGCGGUGAAAUGCGUAGAUAUCGAGAGGAACACCUGCGGCGAAGGCGGGUUGCUGGGCUGACACUGACGCUGAUUGUGCGAAAGCUAGGGGAGCGAAC